CUUGAGGCGUGGCUUCCGGAGCUAACGCGUUAAGUCGACCGCCUGGGGAGUACGGCCGCAAGGUUAAAACUCAAAUGAAUUGACGGGGGCCCGCCCAAGCGGUGGAGCAUGUGGUUUAAUUCGAUGCAACGCGAAGAACCUUACCUACUCUUGACAUCCAGAGAAUUCGCUAGAGAUAGCUUAGUGCCUUCGGGAACUCUGAGACAGGUGCUGCAUGGCUGUCGUCAGCUCGUGUUGUGAAAUGUUGGGUUAAGUCCCGCAACGAGCGCAACCCUUAUCCUUUGUUGCCAGCMCGUAAUGGUGGGAACUCAAAGGAGACUGCCGGUGAUAAACCGGAGGAAGGUGGGGAUGACGUCAAGUCAUCAUGGCCCUUACGAAUAGGGCUACACACGUGCUACAAUGGCGUAUACAAAGAGAAGCGAACUCGCGAGAGCAAGCGGACCUCAUAAAGUACGUCGUAGUCCGGAUCGGAGUCUGCAACUCGACUCCGUGAAUUCGGAAUCGCUAGUAAUCGUAGAUCAGAAUGCUACGGUGAAUACGUUCCCGGGCCUUGUACACACCGCCCGUCACACCAUGGGAGUGGGUUGCAAAAGAARUAGGUAGCUUAACCUUC
rnacentral:rRNA from 1 species